ensembl:lncRNA
GGGUUUUCUCCAAUGGACCCUUUGUUUAGAACAGCCCCCCUUCUCAUCUAUGAAAGGGUUUCUUUUGUUCUCAGCACUUGCUGGAAGGUCAACAGCCAGUUACAAACUACGAUGGAAGAAGCGCAACAGCAAAGAGCCGUCAAUCACAGGCCCCACAGGACGAGCGCACUGCUUCUCCCAGAGGAAGUCACCUCAGCGACUUAGCCCACGAGAAACCAUCCUCACCCUGAACUCGCAGUCUUUCCCAGGGAGAUUUCAUUAAAAACAAAAAAAAACCCCAAACCUCUCACCUUCCUCACUUUUCUCUAUAAAGUAACCAUUCCUCUCCUUUUUGUUGGACUUACCUAUGGCUUUUGCUAUAGCCUGCGUGUCCCAAAUCGCAGUUCCUGUGAUGUUCCAAAGUCCACUUUUGCUGGUAAAAUAACUGAGUGCUUAUUUCUGAGGUCAGCAGACUCCAUCGUCCUCAGGAUGCAGCAAAGAGCACUGCAUUGCUGUGAGCUUGUUUCCCCUCAACACACGGGGCAAAGGAGGCCUGGGCUGCAGAGGGUUGCUCGAUCUGGGGCCCCGCCCAGUGGUCUCUGCAGCCCCUCCCUUGGGCUUUCCAGGUCCCAAUGCCCACUCCCCCCAUGGGGGAACCCACUGCUUCCUGCCAUCCCAGCUAUGACCUUCCUGGGCCUCAGGAGGGCUCCCCAGCACAGGCCCCUACUGCCCAGCACCUAGGCCUGUCUGCCCCCGACCCAGAGACCUCCCUCCCUCCUCUCCCUCCUCUCUAGGGGUCAUCUCUGGGGCCUCUGCAGGUCUUCCACACACCACUCUGCUGGCAGUUCCAGCCAUGCCCUCAGGACUCCUCCCUGUACAAUCAGUUACCAGGGAAACGGUGGCAUCUGGAGGAGAGUUUGUCAUGGUUUCUCACCCUCCCCCCCAAGAGAACUGGUUC